UACGGAGGGUGCAAGCGUUGUCCGGAUUUAUUGGGUUUAAAGGGUGCGUAGGUGGCCGCUUAAGUCAGCUUUGAAGCUGGUCGCUUAACGAUCAGGGGUGGGUUGAUACUGAGCGGCUUAGAUCAGGUGGCGGUUUCUGGAACGGGUCGUGUAGCGGUGAAAUGCAUAGAUAUGACCCAGAACUCCGAUUGCGAAGGCAGGAGCG
rnacentral:rRNA from 1 species